rnacentral:rRNA from 1 species
UACAGAGGGUGCGAGCGUUAAUCGGAAUUACUGGGCGUAAAGCGUGCGCAGGCGGUUUCUUAAGUCAGAUGUGAAAGCCCCGGGCUUAACCUGGGAACUGCGUUUGCAACUGGGAGACUUGAGUGUGGCAGAGGGGGGUGGAAUUCCACGUGUAGCAGUGAAAUGCGUAGAUAUGUGGAGGAACACCAAUGGCGAAGGCAGCCCCCUGGGUCAACACUGACGCUCAUGCACGAAAGCGUGGGGAGCAAACAGG